rnacentral:rRNA from 1 species
GACGAACGCUGGCGGCGUGCCUAAUACAUGCAAGUAGAACGCUGAAGGAGGAGCUUGCUUCUCUGGAUGAGUUGCGAACGGGUGAGUAACGCGUAGGUAACCUGCCUGGUAGUGGGGGAUAACUAUUGGAAACGAUAGCUAAUACCGCAUAAUAGCAGUUGUUGCAUGAUAACUGUUUGAAAGGUGCAAUUGCACCGCUACCAGAUGGACCUGCGUUGUAUUAGCUAGUUGGUGGGGUAACGGCUCACCAAGGCGACGAUACAUAGCCGACCUGAGAGGGUGAUCGGCCACACUGGGACUGAGACACGGCCCAGACUCCUACGGGAGGCAGCAGUAGGGAAUCUUCGGCAAUGGACGGAAGUCUGACCGAGCAACGCCGCGUGAGUGAAGAAGGUUUUCGGAUCGUAAAGCUCUGUUGUAAGAGAAGAACGAGUGUGAGAGUGGAAAGUUCACACUGUGACGGUAUCUUACCAGAAAGAGACGGCUAACUACGUG